CAUGACCUGGUCUGCGGCGACGGCUUUCGAUCCAGAUCCGUGGGUUUUGUACCACGACUUUCACUUAUGGCCGU
rnacentral:lncRNA from 1 species